CCUACGGGUGGCAGCAGUGAGGAAUAUUGGUCAAUGGGCGAGAGCCUGAACCAGCCAAGUCGCGUGAGGGAGUACUGCCCUAUGGGUUGUAAACCUCUUUUGUCGGGGAGAAAAAGCCGGACGUGUCCGGCUGUGAGAGUACCCGAAGAAAAAGCAUCGGCUAACUCCGUGCCAGCAGCCGCGGUAAUACGGAGGAUGCGAGCGUUAUCCGGAUUUAUUGGGUUUAAAGGGUGCGCAGGCGGAUUUUUAAGUCAGCGGUAAAAUCGUGGGGCUCAACCCCAUCCAGCCGUUGAAACUGGGGAUCUAGAGUGUGCGAGAGGUAUGCGGAAUGCGUGGUGUAGCGGUGAAAUGCAUAGAUAUCACGCAGAACCCCGAUUGCGAAGGCAGCAUACCGGUGCACAACUGACGCUCAGGCACGAAAGCGUGGGUAUCGAACAGGAUUAGAUACCCCUGUAGUC
rnacentral:rRNA from 1 species